UUUGGGUUCAGGGCACAGAGGAAGGGUCACACUACCACCAGGGUCAUAAAACUACUGGAAGUGCCCACAACUCCUACGAAAGCCUUGUCAAAUGUGUGUUUCUUUAGGUUCAUGGUAUACAGAGGAAGGGUCACACUACCACCAGGGUCAUAAAACUACUGGAAAUGCCCACAACUCCUACGAAAGCCUUGUCAAAUGUGUGUUUCUUUAGGUUCACGGUACAGAGGAAGGGUCACACUACCACCAGGGUCAUAAAACUACUGGAAGUGCCCACAACUCCUACGAAAGCCUUGUCAAAUGUGUGUUCUUGGGCAGCAAAAUGUCUUGUAACAGUCCACCUUCCUUACAGCAACCAAAUUUCUACCACAUAAAGAACAACCAUUCACACACCGAACCUCACCAAUCCCACCCCUCUAACCCAACUGAAUCAACAGCAAUCGACCAAAAACUAACAGCAUACAUAAAUGGCGCCACUAUAAAAAUUUGCCUGCGCCAUGACGUAAAAAAUAAAAAUCUCCCGCCCAAAACUGCUAAAAAAAUAAGUUUCUUGAUAUCAAACCUUCAGCAUUCCAGCAUUUUCUCCUAACUUAAUUAAUUGAGAACAAUACCAUUAAUACUACCUAUAGAAAAGUCCUGUAACUACCAAUCCCUUCUACACAGACAGGUUAGAAUAAAUCAACACCAAUUCGGCAAGGUUCAUUACAAACAAUUACACUCGAAUGCCUGGAAUCACAACACGGAUCAAACAACAGAUAACCGUGGACCCUCUUCACAUAGACAAGCAAACAAACUUACACUUAUGUACAAGAUCGCAAACACUCACAUUGACAUUGACCCACAUACUUACACAACGCAAACAGUCAAUGUACUCGUAACACACACAUCCAUAAAUACCAAACAUAUCACACCAACACUGACGCAUACAAGCACUCGUACUUUCCAUGCACCAUACGUGAUUGGAACAGCCUCCCUCAACAGAUUUUAGAGUGUGGUACAAUAGGCUCAUUCAGAAAACAAAUACACACUCGCUUGUCACCACAACACACCAACACUAACAAUUAGACUUGAUUCACUUCCCUCCCCUGCACGCUCGGCUCCCCCGUCCCCCCAACAGCCAACACAAAUAUGCGUGUUAUGCGCCUGAUAGGUACCCCACGCAUUAUUAUCAAGAUCAAGACCUCACACAAAUCCUCUGCAGUCCACCUUCUCCUAAUGAUUUUCCUUCCUGACUGUCCUCUUGACAUUUCCAGAUUGGGACGACCACCUCCCUCUUCCAGUCAGGAGGAAUGGUACCAUACGCCAGUCAAGACCGCCUGCCACCAGUUACUGUCCUGCAGGUCACAUCUUUGGGCAGCUCUGCACUGAUAUGUUACAAGUGCCAGGUGCCUCUCCACCCCUCAGCCUUGCCACAGACUCUCCCACCUCGUCAAGAGAGGGUGGACUAUGGUUGAUAGGUGGGUCAGCAUCCGCAACCUGCAACCCAGCGACUGGAAGCUCUCCGCUCAGAGGGUCUGCCGUGUACAACAGCUCAAAGUACUCAGCCCAACAAGCCCUCUGCCCAUCCAUGUCUGACACUAGGCAGCCACCAACUGGAGCUCAACACUGUGGCACACGUCAAGCCUGGGUGGUGGUCAGCGUGUGUGUGUGUGUGUGAGUGAAGGAUGCAGGAGGCAGCCGGCCCUUCCACAUGAGUCAUGGGGAGCAGCUUCCUCAUGGUAAAUAUGUCACACACUAGACCACAAGUGUAAGCGGACACGAUGACGCCGGUGGUGCCUCUGUGAGUGUACGGCGCGGUCUGAUGGUGGCGUCACACUGGACGUUUUCUCCCAACCGUUGGAGCUUGGAGCAACCGCGAUUGUCCGUACACCCAACCAGCAGUGAGUUGUUGGUUUGGGUAAACACUCCUGUCCUCUCGUCUUUGAAGCCACGAUUGUACCCACAACCACUUCUUCCUUCCAGUUAACUGUGGCAACAAGUCCAUAAGUUGAGUACCAGCAGCACAAGGCAUAACAGCCCUUACUGUUGCAAAUGAUGCCGCGUUGAUGCAGGGUGACUGGUUUGUUUACGUAGUGGAUGCGGGCAACUGAACUUGGUUUUCCGCUCUGAGCGCUUUCAUCUUGUGGCGGACAAAGGGAACCCACCCUCGCGUCUUGGACUCGUACAAACAGGAUGCUCGCACACCAAGUCACCGCUUGUAAACCAAGGCAUCUUUCAUGAUAUUUUUUUUGCUUGUAAAUCAAAAUGCUCAUAAACUGAGGCACUCACAAAACGAGGUAGUACUGUAUAACCGGGAUUAGCACUAUUCAGAGUUUUUAGCAGCAGCCAUCAUGUGUGCCACGCAGCAUGUUCCCACUUGGUUGCCUCAAAUGUGUCAGCUGUGCCGUUAAACUUACUUCAACACCUUGACCCGUAGACCGCAGGCUAGAGAGCAUUUGCAGAUUUCAAAGCAUGCGCCGUGUUGAUGAAUUUUUGUGAAAUAGAUGUUUUCAGCAAUUCCCUGUGUGGCAAUUUCAGACAUAAGCACCGUAGUUUAUAGUGCUUUUUCACUGCCAAUCUUGUCUCUACAACAUGAAACAAACUAGAAGUCCCUCGGUUGCAGCGUGGCAGAGACAUGAUGUUGGGAAGAGAUAUCUUUUGGCCAGGCCGGCACUCUUGUUGGUGUGGGUACAGUUGGCCAUGGCGUGGUUUUCCUGCCUCGCCCCGCGCCAAGCACUGGGCCAUGCAUUACACCGACCUGCACGAUUGCCACACCCAUCCUAAUGUGUACUGAGUGUGUCAUGGGUUAAGCCAUUUCUUUUUCUGAGGCUGACUGACAUGUUUAGCAUCACGUGGGUCAGCACUACCCUCUGCUAGGCCUUUGCUGACCACUGUCUCAUCAAAGAACAGUACAGGCACACUCUGGGGGAGGUGGUGGCUGAGUGCUUAGUGUGAUGACUUUGUGGUCCUGAAGACCCUGGUGUGAGUCCUGCUGCAAGUCACUGGCAGUUUCCAAGCAUCACCAAGUGGCAUGAAGGCGCCGCAUGCUUCACAGACCUUCACUCAUCCCCAACUUCAGCAACUUUUGUCGUGAGGAGCAUGAGAGGAGUGACAACUUGGCCAUCUUAAAGCAGUGAAGGCAGUUCCUGGAGAGCACGUCCCACAAACUCAUGGUAAUGCUGCAUUGAGUAAAUCUAAGUUCUAAAACUGCUUACUUUUUGUAAUUUAUUAUUUUACCCGUAACUUGUGUAUCAGUAACUUUAAAUUGUUUGUUAUGCAAUGCUCUAAAGUGAAUUUUGUUAAUCCAAAUUGACCUAAAACAUGAACAGCCUGUUGCAGAGUGAACCAACAUCAAUUUGAAAAUCUGGAUGAUACAAAUGAGGCGUUCUCUGAAAGGUGUGAGGCAGCGUCCUUGGUGGUGAACAGCCUCUUUGCAGCGCCUCGGUGCAUGACACUGUGAAGGAAAGUUCCUGUGCCGUGCGUACAGGAAACUGCAUUUAUGGUACCGCUGUGGUCGAGCAUUGGUGAAAAAUCAGUAUUUCCCCCUCAGCAAUGCCUCCACAUUUGCUUGAUAAAAGUAUCCAAAAACAUCCUAAAAAUAAAAGAAUGCCGUCUCUCUACCGUCACCUGCUUUUGUGUGUUUAAAGGGACGGGUUUAACCCACUGAUGCGCCAUCGGCCUGUAUUCCCGGGUAUGUACAGGCUAUUAUGCUUUGUUCCGAGGCUGUGUGCACUCUAAAGUGUUCACAUAGGGUGGAGCUGGCAACACCGGGUAUCUAGCGCUUUUUGGAAACCCUAAUAACUCUCCCUCCCUCCCACCAAGCAGAAACUCAUGUUCCUGGGGGCAGUGACCUGCCCUAGGCAAGUGUGACUGGUGAGGAAAUGUUAUGGAGGGAAGGGAAGUGUCUGCUGCUGGCUAAAAAAAAAAUCCUGUCCUGUGAAGUAACUUUCUGAUGACCCCGAGCAGUGAGGUGAUUGAAAUUUACCAGUAAAGGCACAUUUGAGUGGUUUGUACACUGCUGCCCCAGGGCGAUAUCCCAACUAUAAAUAGCAGUAAAUGUUGAAAUAAUUUGAUGGCUCUUUGUGAGGGUUAUCUAUAUAAGUUGAUUUAUGAAAUACAUGGAAAUCAUUAAAAAUGGGUAAAUACAGAGAGAGAGACAGACAUUAUAAAACUUUAAAUGGCGAUAUCUCAAAACAUUAUUUUUUUAUUUUAAAAAAUUCGUGGAGGAUUCAAAACUUAAUAUAUUUCCUUGUGCUUUGGUCUGUUUGUUCAGGAUGACGGAUACUUGUGCUUUGGUCUGUUUGUUCAGGAUGACGGAUACUUGUGCUUUGGUCUGUUUGUUCAGGAUGACGGAUACUUGUGCUUUGGUCUGUUUGUUCAGGAUGACGGAUACUUGUGCUUUGGUCUGUUUGUU